AACAAACGCUGGCGGCGCGCCUAACACAUGCAAGUCGUACGAGAAAGGGUCCUUCGGGACCUGAGUAAAGUGGCGCACGGGUGAGUAACGCGUGGAUAAUCUGCCCUUCAGUUGGGAACAACUCAUCGAAAGGUGGGCUAAUACCGAAUAACACUGUGAGACUUUGGUCGAGCAGUCAAAGAGAGCCUCUGCUUGCAAGCCCUCGCUGAAGGAUGAGUCCGCGUACCAUUAGCUAGUUGGUAGGGUAAUGGCCUACCAAGGCGACGAUGGUUAGCUGGUCUGAGAGGAUGAUCAGCCACACUGGAACUGAGAUACGGUCCAGACUCCUACGGGAGGCAGCAGUGAGGAAUCUUGCGCAAUGGGGGAAACCCUGACGCAGCAACGCCGCGUGAGUGAGGAAGGUCUUCGGAUCGUAAAGCUCUGUCAGUUGGGAAGAAAUGCCCGAGGGUUAAUACCCCUCAGGCUUGACGGUACCAACAGAGGAAGCACCGGCUACUCCGUGCCAGCAGCCGCGGUAACAC
rnacentral:rRNA from 1 species